CCUACGGGAGGCAGCAGUGGGGAAUAUUGGACAAUGGGCGCAAGCCUGAUCCAGCAAUGCCGCGUGAGUGAUGAAGGCCUUAGGGUCGUAAAGCUCUUUUACCAGGGAUGAUAAUGACAGUACCUGGAGAAUAAGCUCCGGCUAACUCCGUGCCAGCAGCCGCGGUAAUACGGAGGGAGCUAGCGUUGUUCGGAAUUACUGGGCGUAAAGCGUACGUAGGCGGUUAUUCAAGUCAGAGGUGAAAGCCCGGGGCUCAACCCCGGAACGGCCUUUGAAACUAGGUAGCUAGAAUCUUGGAGAGGUCAGUGGAAUUCCGAGUGUAGAGGUGAAAUUCGUAGAUAUUCGGAAGAACACCAGUGGCGAAGGCGACUGACUGGACAAGUAUUGACGCUGAGGUACGAAAGCGUGGGGAGCAAACAGGAUUAGAUACCCUGGUAGUCCACGCCGUAAACGAUGAUAACUAGCUGUUCGGGCACUUGGUGCUUGAGUGGCGCAGCUAACGCAUUAAGUUAUCCGCCUGGGGAUACGGUCGCAAGNUUAAAACUCAAAGAUAAUAGACGUGAGAGUGCGACGAGACACAGGAGGUAGAG
rnacentral:rRNA from 1 species